GGCUGGUUAGUUCAGUUGGUUAGAAUGUGAUGUUGAUAACAUCAAGGUCUAGGGUUCGAUCCCUGAACCAGCCA